CUUUAGUUCGAUAUGAUAUUUUAUAAGGCAGAAAGGAG
rnacentral:ncRNA from 1 species